rnacentral:rRNA from 1 species
AAAUUGAAGAGUUUGAUCAUGGCUCAGAUUGAACGCUGGCGGCAGGCCUAACACAUGCAAGUCGAACGGUAACAGGAAGCAGCUUGCUGCUUUGCUGACGAGUGGCGGACGGGUGAGUAAUGUCUGGGAAACUGCCUGAUGGAGGGGGAUAACUACUGGAAACGGUGGCUAAUACCGCAUAACGUCGCAAGACCAAAGAGGGGGGACCUUCGGGCCUCUUGCCAUCAGAUGUGCCCAGAUGGGAUUAGCUUGUUGGUGAGGUAACGGCUCACCAAGGCGACGAUCCCUAGCUGGUCUGAGAGGAUGACCAGCCACACUGGAACUGAGACACGGUCCAGACUCCUACGGGAGGCAGCAGUGGGGAAUAUUGCACAAUGGGCGCAAGCCUGAUGCAGCCAUGCCGCGUGUAUGAAGAAGGCCUUCGGGUUGUAAAGUACUUUCAGCGGGGAGGAAGGUGUUGUGGUUAAUAACCGCAGCAAUUGACGUUACCCGCAGAAGAAGCACCGGCUAACUCCGUGCCAGCAGCCGCGGUAAUACGGAGGGUGCAAGCGUUAAUCGGAAUUACUGGGCGUAAAGCGCACGCAGGCGGUCUGUCAAGUCGGAUGUGAAAUCCCCGGGCUCAACCUGGGAACUGCAUUCGAAACUGGCAGGCUUGAGUCUUGUAGAGGGGGGUAGAAUUCCAGGUGUAGCGGUGAAAUGCGUAGAGAUCUGGAGGAAUACCGGUGGCGAAGGCGGCCCCCUGGACAAAGACUGACGCUCAGGUGCGAAAGCGUGGGGAGCAAACAGGAUUAGAUACCCUGGUAGUCCACGCCGUAAACGAUGUCUACUUGGAGGUUGUGCCCUUGAGGCGUGGCUUCCGGAGCUAACGCGUUAAGUAGACCGCCUGGGGAGUACGGCCGCAAGGUUAAAACUCAAAUGAAUUGACGGGGGCCCGCACAAGCGGUGGAGCAUGUGGUUUAAUUCGAUGCAACGCGAAGAACCUUACCUGGUCUUGACAUCCACAGAAGAAUCCAGAGAUGGAUUUGUGCCUUCGGGAACUGUGAGACAGGUGCUGCAUGGCUGUCGUCAGCUCGUGUUGUGAAAUGUUGGGUUAAGUCCCGCAACGAGCGCAACCCUUAUCCUUUGUUGCCAGCGGUCCGGCCGGGAACUCAAAGGAGACUGCCAGUGAUAAACUGGAGGAAGGUGGGGAUGACGUCAAGUCAUCAUGGCCCUUACGACCAGGGCUACACACGUGCUACAAUGGCGCAUACAAAGAGAAGCGACCUCGCGAGAGCAAGCGGACCUCAUAAAGUGCGUCGUAGUCCGGAUUGGAGUCUGCAACUCGACUCCAUGAAGUCGGAAUCGCUAGUAAUCGUGGAUCAGAAUGCCACGGUGAAUACGUUCCCGGGCCUUGUACACACCGCCCGUCACACCAUGGGAGUGGGUUGCAAAAGAAGUAGGUAGCUUAACCUUCGGGAGGGCGCUUACCACUUUGUGAUUCAUGACUGGGGUGAAGUCGUAACAAGGUAACCGUAGGGGAACCUGCGGUUGGAUCACCUCCUUA